rnacentral:lncRNA from 1 species
UGAACAAAACACCAAUGGCUUACGCUCUAAGAUCAAGAAUCGACAAAUGGGAUCUCAUAAAACUGCAAAGGUUCUGUAAGGCAAAGGACACGGUGGUUAGGACAAAACGGCAACCAACAGAUUGGGAAAAGAUCUUUACCAAUCCUACAACAGAUAGAGGCCUUAUAUCCAAAAUAUACAAAGAACUCAAGAAGUUAGACCGCAGGGAAACAAAUAACCCUAUUAAAAAAUGGGGUUCAGAGCUAAACAAAGAAUUCACAGCUGAGGAAUGCCGAAUGGCUGAGAAACACCUAAAGAAAUGUUCAACAUCUUUAGUCAUAAGGGAAAUGCAAAUCAAAACAACCCUGAGAUUUCACCUCACACCAGUGAGAAUGGCUAAGAUCAAAAA